rnacentral:rRNA from 1 species
UCAGUUAUCGUUUAUUUGAUAGUACCUUACUACUUGGAUAACCGUGGUAAUUCUAGAGCUAAUACAUGCUUAAAAUCCCGACUGUGGAAGGGAUGUAUUUAUUAGAUAAAAAAUCAAUGCCUUCGGGCUCUUUGAUGAUUCAUAAUAACUUUUCGAAUCGCAUGGCCUUUGUGCUGGCGAUGGUUCAUUCAAAUUUCUGCCCUAUCAACUUUCGAUGGUAGGAUAGUGGCCUACCAUGGUUUCAACGGGUAACGGGGAAUAAGGGUUCGAUUCCGGAGAGGGAGCCUGAGAAACGGCUACCACAUCCAAGGAAGGCAGCAGGCGCGCAAAUUACCCAAUCCCGACACGGGGAGGUAGUGACAAUAAAUAACGAUACAGGGCCCUUUCGGGUCUUGUAAUUGGAAUGAGUACAAUGUAAAUACCUUAACGAGGAACAAUUGGAGGGCAAGUCUGGUGCCAGCAGCCGCGGUAAUUCCAGCUCCAAAAGCGUAUAUUAAAGUUGUUGCAGUUAAAAAGCUCGUAGUUGAACCUUGGGCUUGGCUGGCCGGUCCAUCUUUUUUGAUGCGUACUGGACCCAGCCGAGCCUUUCCUUCUGGCUAGCCUUUUUGGCGAACCAGGACUUUUACUUUGAAAAAAUUAGAGUGUUCAAAGCAGGCCUUUGCUCGAAUAUAUUAGCAUGGAAUAAUAGAAUAGGACGUUAUGGUUCUAUUUUGUUGGUUUCUAGGACCAUCGUAAUGAUUAAUAGGGACGGUCGGGGGUAUCAGUAUUCAGUAGUCAGAGGUGAAAUUCUUGGAUUUACUGAAGACUAACUACUGCGAAAGCAUUUACCAAGGACGUUUUCAUUAAUCAAGAACGAAAGUUAGGGGAUCGAAGAUGAUCAGAUACCGUCGUAGUCUUAACCAUAAACUAUGCCGACUAGGGAUCGGUUGUUGUUCUUUUA